GUUUUAUAGUAUUCCAUGGCCUUCACUGGCCAACUACUGUCAUGUUUAUGAUGUACUAUGGUGUUGUGUCACUAGACUUUGACCAGAUAUUAUUGCAUCCAAAGAUCAACUGAACCUAGAACAUAGAUACAGAGACACUUGUCAUCAGGAAGGUGAUCUCUCAGCACAACGGAAAAUAUCUCAAUGACUUGACAUGUUCUGGUUGUGAAUUCAGGCUACAAGGGGUCAGUGCUCUAAAAUGAGUCUCUCUGGGGAGAGAGAGGAGGUGGGCCCUGCCUCUAAAAUGCAUCUCUCUGGGGGACAUGACACCAAAGCUAAGAGACCAAUCAAGCAGGAGAGACCAGCCUCCCCUGUUCCCAGCUGUGUGUCCAUGAAGAGUGACUGGUCUAUGGAACUUCCUCUAUACUUUAGAAAGGGAGACUUUUCUACUGA